rnacentral:rRNA from 1 species
UAUGCUUAGCCAUAAACCCAGAUAUACCCUUACAUUUACAUCCGCCAGGGUACUACAAGCGCAGCUUAAAACCCAAAGGACUUGGCGGUGCCUCAGACCCACCUAGAGGAGCCUGUUCUAGAACCGAUAACCCCCGUUGAACCUCACCACUUCUUGUUUUUCCCGCCUAUAUACCGCCGUCGUCAGCUUACCCUGUGAAGGCCUAACAGUAAGCAAAAUGGGCCCGCCCAAAAACGUCAGGUCGAGGUGUAGCGUACGAAGUGGGAAGAAAUGGGCUACAUUUUCUACAAUAAUAGAAUACUACGGACGGCACUCUGAAACUAGUGCCCUAAGGUGGAUUUAGUAGUAAAAAACAAAUAGAGAGUCUUUUUGAAUUAGGCUCUGAGGCGC